GUCCAGCCGUAAAAACUUAACUCACAUCAACAAGCGCCAGGGNAAUUACGAGCACAAGCUUAAAACCCAAAGGAUUUGACGGUGUCCCAUCCCCCUAGAGGAGCCUGUUCUAUAAUCGAUGAUCCUCGAUAUACCUCACCAUUUUUGGCUUUUCAGCCUGUAUACCUCCGUCGCAAGCUUACCAUUUGAUUGCCCCAAAGUAAGUUCAACGGGCCCCCCCGCCAAUACGUCAGGUCAAGGUGCAGCCAAUAAAAUGGAAAGCAAUGGGCUACAAUUUCUAACAUAGAACAAACGAAAAACUACAUGAAACAUAGUCAUGAAGGCGGAUUUAGUAGUAAAAAAAGACUAGCGAGCUUCUUUUAACAAAAGGCCCCGGGACGUGUACAAACCGCCCGUCACCCUCUUCGAUAGCACCCAACUUAGCUACAUAACACCUGCUCAGCACCUUAGAAGAGGCAAGUCGUAACAUGGUAAGUGUACCGGAAGGUGCACUUGGUUAAA
rnacentral:rRNA from 1 species